GGAAACAGGAAAAAAAAAGGGGGUACAUGGUAAUAUAACUUUAAUCCAAAUCCUCCCUUCUUCCUUUUGCCUAUGUUUUCUUAUCCUCCAUAUUUUCCCACUCCAUACAGAUACUUGUUCUUUUUCAGGCAUAUAUUCACUCCAUUCAUUUAUUCAUUCAUUCGGCGAUAACCAAGACGAUGUUGGCAAAACCAGCAUCUCAACCGCCCUCUGGGAUCAUACAGCAUAGUGAGGGACACAGCCAAGGACACAAACCAAUGACACAAACCAACACGACUCAAUGGAAUGGCGAAGACGUUUUCUUCAGCCGACGAGAAGAAACUGUAGGGCAGCUCUCUGCUGGUCCCAGCAAGGCCUUGGUUCAGAGACGAGGAAAACAAGACAAAAACCUCAGUCAGCAGUGGUUCCCAUGGCUCCUGCAAUGGAGAUUAGGUCUAUUCCCCAUCUUCAUCGCUGGGUCCCAGCGAAGUUCCAUGAAUUACUGCAGCAGGGGCCGGCCUGGUGGUGUAGUGGUUAAGUUCGCAUGUUCCACUUCAGCGGUCCAGGGUCCGCUGGCUCGGAUCCCAGGUGCGUACAUGGCACCUCUUG
rnacentral:lncRNA from 1 species